UACCAGUGAUGAAAAGAUUCUGCCAAAUGAAUUGCGUUGAUUAUAACCCUUACCGUUCCAUUAUAUCUGAGGUC
rnacentral:snoRNA from 1 species